rnacentral:rRNA from 1 species
AUUGAACGCUGGCGGCAGGCCUAACACAUGCAAGUCGAGCGAGCGGCGGACGGGUGAGUAAUGUCUGGGAAACUGCCUGAUGGAGGGGGAUAACUACUGGAAACGGUAGCUAAUACCGCAUACCAUCAUAUGUGCCCAGGCGGGAUUAGCUAGUAGGUGGGGGAACGGCUCACCUAGGCGACGCUCCCUAGAUGGUCUGAGAGGAUGACCAGCCACACUGGAACUGAGACACGGGCCAGACUCCAACGGGAGGCAGAAGUGGGGAAUAGUGCACAAUGGGCGCAAGCCUGAUGCAGCCAUGCCGCGUGGGUGAAGAAGGCCUUCGGGUUGUAAAGCACUUGCAGCGGGGAGGCGUUACCCGCAGAAGAAGCACCGGCUAACUCCGUGCCAGCCGCCGCGGUAAUAC